GAUCAGGCCCAGCCCCCAGGCCACAAACCCCACAGCCCCAGCUGGAGGGUGAGGAGAUGCUGGGCUUGGGUGGGGGAAUCAGGGGAGUAAAGGGACCUGCU
rnacentral:miRNA from 10 species